GCUCGUCCGAAGUCACGUGCGCUUGCCAUUUUGCUCCCUGUCGUAGCAACAACUCGCGUUAAUAAAAUACCCGCAAGAAUUUAAGAUUACAAAGUGGCGUUGGACUGGGUUGGGCGGGUUUGGGUGUGCGAGCUCGUAUCCGUUAACAAGCACAGAAUUAUUAAGUACCGGCUGUGUUUAAAAAGGGGAGUUAUCAUCGAGUAAGCCGCUCACGUGGAGCAAUAACGAUCGAAAUUAGAGUCGUUUAAAAUAGGAAACAAUCUGUUCUGACAUGCAUAUAUCUCACAAGAAAAUAUAUGCACGUUCAUUAGAAAAUAAAGGAUUCUUUAGAGGUAAAUAAUACAUUGCAAAAGAGUAGGAAUCUGUGUUAAUGUUAUUACGACGAUCUAAUAGAAAGGAAAAUUCGAUGGAAGCCUUUUGAAACGUUUAAAUAAUGCAGCUCGAAUAACAAUGAAUUUCAUGAAACAGGAGAAAAUAGCGAGAUAUUUGCUUAACUAUUUCACCGAAAUAAGAUAGGACGUAAUUGAAAAAAGGAAAAAGAAGAGAAAGAAGAAGAAGAAGAAGAAAAAGAGAAGAAAGAGAGAAAAAAAAAAAGAAAUUACAUACUAAAAGAGAGUUUCCAAACAUUGAGAAGUAAACAGUAGUACAGAGUCCGUCGCGUAUUUACCGGUUACCGGCCACUUUACUGCCAUACUUUCGUAUUUCUCGUUUGUACGGCCAUUACGCGAACGCGGGAAACUUUAAAUCCCUUUCAUAAAAGUUACAAGUCAUAUGGGAGAAAAAGUUCUGGCUGGCCGUAACAAGUACGAUGACUGUUUAUUCUCGAAUUAGCUUGCAAACAAGAAACGUAGAUAGAACGAAUCGAGUUAACACGCUACGAGGAAAAUAUUUUCAACUACGCGUGCGAUGGAACGAUGAAUUUCACUGGUGUACGACGAACGAGAAACCCACCCAUUCGGUAUCCGUCCUGUGGUGGAAUUAUUUAUAUUUACACGAUUUUACAUCCGAGCCGGAAGCAUGCUCGGCAUGGAUCGAGCACGCGGAUACGCGAACAGUGAAAUCGACAGAAUUUCAGGACGCUGUGGUCCUCUCGCGUGCGCGAGCUUCCACAUGCAUACUACGUUAGCUUAUGCAUCAAUGGAUACGAAUUUUACAUUCUUACUUUCCUUUGGGAUCAACUGUGGAUACGAUAAAAUCCUCAGGGGCAAUCUGAUCUCUCUGACGUAGAAAGUUAACAGCAACAAGAAUUACUAAAGUUACGCAAAAAGGUGACAUCUCGUUAAAAUUCAAAUUUUCGAGAAUGAAUAUCGUUAUAUCUCGAUGAUUUCAUUAAAUUAGAUAACGACUAGUAAAAAUUUAUACGCAUUUUGAUAUGGACGAUUCGAUUUAAAAAUCAUCCAAUAAUGCAGAGGAAUCGUGGAAAUAUUAAUCACGUAGAGAGAUCUGUUCUAUCGUUGAAAUGGCAACCGAAACGUGGUAAAUGUCUCCUGAACUGAAAACCGAUGCUUUCGUUCCAAUUAGCCAGAAUAAUGACUAAUGUCGAUGCGUAAAAGACAACACAGUUUUAUGUAGAUUGAACAUACAAACAUAUAUAUAUAUAUAUAUAUAUACAUAUGUACGUUACUUAUGUACACACUAUCUCUCUACCCCGUACAUUUUCUACUUCGUUUUAUUCGAUGUACGAUUAAAAGAACAAAGUUAUAUCAAAAGAGCAUUUGAGAGGUUUGUACUGAAAGAAAUGAAAUGAAAGAAAAAAGAAAAAACCAGGGGUAAACAAUUAGGCAAGAUAAAAAACAUAUCGAAUAUUUGUGUUUUGAUAGAGUUUCGUACAUCAAUGUCACAGAAAGUAAUACGUUACUGAUUACAAAGUUAAAGGAGAUCAUGCGAGGCACACAACUUUUCAACGGACACGUCGCUCACAUUAAAUUUUCCUCGAACAUGAACGAACCACGUUACAUGCUCGCAAAGUAUAUACAUUUUCAAUGAUGGACAAGUUAUAACGAGUUAUAACUACUACUCGCGAACAGUUCCCAAAGCACUAUUACAUUGAAACGUUGAAUAGCUUUAGCUUUGGGGGCAAGGUUAAAUGAGUAGGAUAUUUAUUCCCACCUUUCAACAAAUUGCCAAGCCUGAAUAGGCAUCUAAAGUCAUUAACAGCAAUUGAAUAAAUUCAAUCGUUAAUUACAAUUUCUAACUGAGUAAUUCAAUCAGAUCGAUUAAUAAUUAUGAUUAAUUGUUGUCCUCGUUGAAUCUUUCAAAUCUUUUUAAAAUCACGGAAGGAUCAUCAUGAGAGACAAUUGAUCAAAGCAAUGUUUCUAAGGAACAUUAAUCUAUAAAUUAAUUCGAAUGAUAAAAAAUAGGAAUAUAAUAGACUUCUUUUUUUUUUUU